AACGUAGGUUCCGAGCGUUAUCCGGAUUUACUGGGCGUAAAGCGCGUUCAGGCGGUUUGGCAAGUCGGGCAUGAAAUCUCUCGGCUCAACCGGGAGAGGUUGUCCGAUACUGCUGGACUUGAGGGCAGUAGAGGGUGGUGGAAUUCCGGGUGUAGUGGUGAAAUGCGUAGAUAUCCGGAGGAACACCAGUGGCGAAAGCGGCCACCUGGACUGUACCUGACGCUGACACGCGAAAGCGUGGGGAGCGAACAGG
rnacentral:rRNA from 1 species